rnacentral:misc_RNA from 1 species
UAAUAAGUGUUUUAUGGCACUUUUUAAAUCCAUAUCCACCUUGUGUGCAAUGUCAGUCGAUCUUCUUCAUGGAGAUCGACCAAACAUCAACCUUUAUUUUUUAACUCUUUGUCUGAAAAAUAUUAUGAAUAAACAAUUCUUAAAACA